rnacentral:rRNA from 1 species
UACGAAGGGUGCAAGCGUUACUCGGAAUUACUGGGCGUAAAGCGUGCGUAGGUGGUUUGUUAAGUCUGUUGUGAAAGCCCCGGGCUCAACCUGGGAAUGGCAAUGGAUACUGGCAAGCUAGAGUGCGGUAGAGGGUAGUGGAAUUCCCGGUGUAGCGGUGAAAUGCGUAGAGAUCGGGAGGAACACCAGUGGCGAAGGCGGCUACCUGGACCAGCACUGACACUGAGGCACGAAAGCGUGGGGAGCGAACAGGAUUAGA